UCCUGGCUCAGGAUGAACGCUAGCGGGAGGCUAACACAUGCAAGCCGAGCGGGAUUUUGUUGGUUAGCUUGCUAACUAAUAAUGAGAGCGGCGUACGGGUGCGGAACAUGUGUGUAAUCUGCCCUUAUCAAGGGGAUAGCCCGGAGAAAUCCGGAUUAAUACCCUAUAACAUAUGGGAUGGCAUCAUUUCAUAUUAAAAGCUACGGCGGAUAAGGAUGAGCACGCACAAGAUUAGCUAGUUGGUAAGGUAACGGCUUACCAAGGCGACGAUCUUUAGGGGGCCUGAGAGGGUGAUCCCCCACACUGGGACUGAGACACGGCCCAGACUCCUACGGGGGGCAGCAGUGAGGAAUAUUGGACAAUGGGUGGAAGCCUGAUCCAGCCAUCCCGCGUGCAGGACGACUGCCCUAUGGGUUGUAAACUGCUUUUAUAUAGGGAUAAACCUACUCUCGUGAGAGUAGCUGAAGGUACUAUAUGAAUAAGCACCGGCUAACUCCGUG
rnacentral:rRNA from 1 species